rnacentral:ncRNA from 1 species
UGACUCCCGUCUGGGUAAGCGUUAGCCACGCGCCCAGUAUCGAGUGUUGCAGCUUGCCUGGUAACAGGUCGGUUGAAGUGUACACAGAAAGGUAGUGAGGGUGAAAGGCACAGGUUGGUCUACCUGGCCCUGAAUGGUAUUGAGCUCCGAAAUCAUGGUUAGUCGGAUACUGCCCAAGGUGUUUGCAUGCUGGAAGGCAAUAUCUCGAUCCGCGUCACAGGCGAGCGGAUUGAGAAGUCCCGGAGUCGAAGGCCC